ensembl:lncRNA
UGUGCGAACCUGGAAGCAUAUGAUUUCAUGUUGAGCCACCUGGGAGGACUGGUUAAAGCUGCAAGAGAAGCGCACAUCCGGUGGAAUCGUUGGACCCCUUCUGCUGAGCAAAAAGACUUUAACAGCCGUCUGAGGGAGCUUGAGAUUUGUCUCCCCAAGCUGGUUUCCAAAAAAUCUGAAUUUAUUCAAGCAAAAUUCAAGCAGGAUUCUGUUAGAGAAGCAGGUAUAGCCUACAGUUCUCCAAGGCCAGCAAUCAAGUUGAAACCUACUUCACUUCCCAUGUUUGCUGGAAGCAAACGUGAUUUUCACCGUUGGAGGAAGGAGUGGGAAGCUCUGCAGAGGCAAGGCGAACCAACUGGGUCAAAAGAGGUGAAGAAAUUUCAGCUGCUGGAUAGUCUUGAUGAUAAAGUGGCAAGAGAGUUUCGACUGAAAGCUUAUAGUUCAGCAGAAGAGAUAUUCCGUGUCCUGGAGAAUCGCUUUGGGAAUAGAGCUGCUAUUGCCCUCGAAAUUGUGGAAGAGUUGCAAGCAAUGCCACCAGUAAAAGGUCACCAAGCCAGGAAAAUAGUGGAGCUGAUUCAAACGGUUGAAAAGGCCCUGUAUGACCUAAGUGAGCUUGGAGACACCGGUGCCAUGAAGAAUCCCUUGGUGACAAAAUCCAUUGAAAGCAAACUCCCGGAGUCACUAAAGAAGGAAUGGCUGGUUUAUAUUGCUGGUGAGAAAAAUGCUGUUGCACCGCACACUCGUUUUGACAAGCUCCUUGAAUUUCUCAAAGGGCAAGAGGAAAUAUAUGAGCAGCUGGAGCAGUUAAGAGAAGAUGAACCGAGUAGGAAGGAGACCAGGUCUGACCUGAGGCAUGCGAGGACAAGAGCCACCAAAGCGAGCAGUGACCCAGUAGGUUGUAUUGUCUGUGGAGACAGUAAACACAAGAAGAAGCUGUAUUUCUGCAGGAAGUUUAAGACCCUAAAACCUUCAGAGAGAAAGGAUGUGGUAAGGAGGCUCGGAGCAUGCAACAGGUGUCUGGAAAUCCAUGAUCGUGGCGCAUACUGCAAGACCACUUACCUGUGCAGAAAUGUGGAAUGCAAAGACCAACAAAACCCCGAGCACCAUUAUUACCUGUGUUCAUAUGCUGAAAUUAAAAGUAACCCCCAGAGAAGAACAAAGUCUGGCUUGGUGGGAGGCGGAAAGUGCACCGAGUCUCAGGAGGAGUUCCUCUCCAAGCUGUUACCUGAAUUGGCUCAGCAGUGUCGAGAUGCAUUCUGCAAUUCAGCAUCCAGGACCUUCAACUCUGUGGCAAGUGAGGAGGGGCUACUAGCAGAAAGUGGUUUGCAUGAAUUUCCUGUCAUCAUGAUGCUAUUGCAAGUAACGGCCAAUGCUGGACAAAAAGUUGGAACAUUGAUUGACCUGGCCUCGGAUACAAAUUACAUCACUCACAAAGCUGCUAAGGAAUUAAAUCUUCGAAGCGAAGACGUCACUCUGGUGGUCCAUGGAGUUGGUGGGAUGAAGGUAUCAGUUGAAACCAAGCGGUACCUGCUGAAGAUCAGAGUUCGUACCCCCAGAGGUAGUCUUAAGUCACACCAGCUAGUGUGUUAUGGGCUCGACAGUAUUGCAGAGAUCCACCGGCAUGUGACGGCCAAGAAGCUGCAGAGAAUAUUCCCUGACAUUCCACUGCAUGAACUGGUAAGACCUCAAGAAAUCCAACUCCUUAUAAGCCACAAGGAAGGACAGCUGGUGCCCCAGAAGAUUCGUGUAGUUGGAGAUCUUGUCCUCUGGGAUGGUCCUCUGGGGAAAACUAUUGGAGGUAGUCACCCUGACCUUUUUGAAGAGCUUGCUGUAACUGCACAUAUGUCAAAAACUCAUUUUGCACGUUCAAUGAGGACUGCGGCAGUCAAGUACGAAGAGUUCACCAGUAAAAGUUCAGCUACUCGUCAGUCUCCUGUGUAUCCUGCUGCUCAAUCAAGCACAGCAGCCAUCAAGCGAGAUUUCCUGGAAUGGUGGAAGUGGGACAGUAUCGGAGCCGCUUGUGAGCCCAAGUGUGGAGGUUGUCGCUGUGGCAAUUGCCAGCCAGGGGGCAAAGAAAUGACACUUGCUGAAGAAAGAGAA